CCCUUAGAUGUUCUGGGCCGCACGCGCGCUACACUGAUGCAUUCAACGAGUUUCUUCCUGGUCCGAGAGGAAUGGGUAACCUUUUGAAAGUGCAUCGUGAUAGGGAUAGACUAUUGCAAUUAUUGGUCUUCAACGAGGAAUUCCUAGUAGACGUAGUUCAUCAGACUGCAUCGAUUACGUCCCUGCCCUUUGUACACACCGCCCGUCGCUCCUACCGAUUGAGUGGUCCGGUGAGGCUUUGGGAUCUGGAUGGAAAGAGCGUUUCGCUGUUUCUGCCCGGAAAACUCAGUCGAACCUUAUCAUUUAGAGGAAGGAGAAGUCGUAACA
rnacentral:rRNA from 1 species